CCUAUGAUCUACAGUGCCCAUUCCAACUCAGAGAAUCUUUACAUCUGGAGAUCUAUAGCAGGGCUAUCCCUAGUGACAUGCGUGAAGAAGCUUGGAAAUGGUGCUGGGUAGGAGCUGAGUGUGCAGAAUGUGGAAAGGCAUUCUAAACCAAAGGAAGAACACGAGUAAAGAUGAUGAAGCAGGGAUAAGGCUAAAAUGAAAUUUGUGAUCUGAUCCACAUACAAGCACAGUGUAGUACAGCUGGAAUAUAGAGAAGAGCUUGAAGACUUAUGAGCAACUAUCCCGGUACUCUUGGAGGCUCUGCAACCACAGUUUGAGAAACUCCGCGUUCAAAGUUAAAAACUGUCACCUGAAUAGUUAAUAACAUCAAAGAUUGUGAAAGCAAGUAUAAAUAACACAGAGAUUAAAAUAAUGAGGCAGGAUCAGAAAGGGUUAUGGUGGCCAUCCAGACAUAAAGAAAUUAGAACGUUCAUUCAUCUGCAGAUGCUCACACAUUCCUACAGGAUGACUGAAACCCACAGCAAACAAUCCUCAUGAAAUACAGCUCAGCUCAUCCUGAAGAAUAAGUGGGAGGUCAGCCUCACGGGAAAUUCGAUAUCUCCACAUGCAGCUGUCAUGCCACAUGGAAACAGUCAUGCAUAGGGUCCUGUCACCUGGUAGACUGACCCCAGGUCCACUGACCCCUGACAAUCAUCAACCGCUUCUGAGGGCUCCAUGAUUGAGAUUUGUCCCCAGGAACUCAGGGGAAACUAUAUAUUGAUUAAAAUGAACUAUCAAA
rnacentral:lncRNA from 1 species